rnacentral:rRNA from 1 species
UACGGGGGGAGCAAGCGUUGUUCGGAUUUACUGGGCGUAAAGGGCGCGUAGGCGGCCACCGCAAGUCGACUGUGAAAUCUCCGGGCUUAACCCGGAAAGGUCAGCCGAUACUGCGGGGCUAGAGUGCGGUAGGGGAGACUGGAAUUCCUGGUGUAGCGGUGAAAUGCGCAGAUAUCAGGAGGAACACCGGUGGCGAAGGCGGGUCUCUGGGCCGUAACUGACGCUGAGGAGCGAAAGCGUGGGGAGCGAACAGG